AACAUUUUGAAACAAUCAAAAUGUUAGAGACUGAAUGCAUUACAUUCAAUCUCUGAAGUUGUAGAUAACACAACUUUUUCCAAAUAUCACUGGAUUGACAGAUUUGAAAACAAUGGCAUUCUCAGCACCGAAGUUUUUGUCGGAGUCGGUCAUGAAAGCUUCGAUCUCCUCCACUGUUCGAGGUACGCAGGUCAGCAGCUCCAUGCCGUUGGCUGUUACUGCAAUGUCAUCCUCAAUGCGGACCUGGACAAGUUAGAGAAACUGAGGACCAAAAGACAAAAACGUGUAAAAACUCCAGAAGCACACUGACCCCUCCGAAGCCUCUGAAGCGACCCAGCACUUGGGAGUUGAUGAAGCAGCUCUGAGCAGGGUCAGCCAGGGCUUUGUCCAGCAGGUGG